GCAUCUCCUGGAUGGAUAUCUUGCUUUUGGAGAGGCCACCAAGAGACCACCUUCUGCUGAGACCACCUUCAUUCUUGCAGAAAGACUGAAUUUAAGAAACAUUUCAGCAACAGGGACAUGUGAGGACUGGUGAGGACUGACAAUAGAGGCAGAUCAUCAUGUGAAAGAUUCACCUUUGGAUAUGGCUUCAAGCUUGAGACAAAAGAUUCUCUCUACUACCACUACCACAACCAUUCUUGGUCAGGAUCCAGGAAAACAAAUCAUAGAAUUGUUAUGGUUGAAAAAAACCUUGAAGUUCAUUGAGUUCAGCUGUUCACCCAGCACUGCCGUGUUCACUGCUAAGCCACAUCCCCAAAUGCCAGACAGAUCCAUCCCUUCCCUGGGCAACCCAAUGCCUGACCAUCCUUUCAGUGAAGAAAUUUUUUCCUAAAUCAUA